rnacentral:tRNA from 2 species
GUUUUAAUAGUUUAACAAAAACAUUGGUCUUGUAAACCAAAAAUAAGAUUUUCUUUUAAAACU